CAAUCUCUGGCCAUCUGAAUACUAAGAUCCGAGGCCUGAGAGUGGAAUGAUUUUUCCUUUUUCUCUGGUACAUAGGCAUGGGACUCUCUAGGCAAGUCAAAGUCAUUACUUUGAUUGGUUCUUGUCUCUCCAACAACUUUAACCUCUAACUCCACACUUUCUAUAUCAUUGUUGACAACAACAUCCUGGACCUUUGCCUCUCCCACAUUCAUGACCUGACCAAUUUGAGAAUCCUCAGCAGAUGAGGUAGAUCUGGAUAGUAUUUCUGAUGGGGUUAUAA
rnacentral:misc_RNA from 1 species